UCCGCCGGGGGCUAGCGUUGUUCGGCUUUACUGGGCGUAAAGCGCACGUAGGCGGAUAUUUAAGUCAGAGGUGAAAUCCCAGGGCUCAACCCUGGAACUGCCUUUGAUACUGGAUAUCUCGAGUAUGGAAGAGGUGAGUGGAAUUCCGAGUGUAGAGGUAAAAUUCGUAGAUAUUCGGAGGAACACCAGUGGCGAAGGCGGCUCACUGGUCCAUUACUGACGCUGAGGUGCGAAAGCGUGGGGAGCAAACA
rnacentral:rRNA from 1 species